CCCGGCUCCAGGAGGGCGCCCGCUCGCUGCCACCUUCGUGCUGAGUAAUGCUCUGCUCCAGAAAGUGAGAGUUCUCUAGGGAUUGUCACAGUAAGUAGACCAGAAGUGGGUUGAUUGGACACGACUCGUUGCUGUGUUAGGCCUUUGUUGAGGGUGUGGUACCAAAUAUUUGCCCGCCCCCCCCCCUCCAAGGCUGAAGCCAGCCAAAACGAAUCCUGUUCCUUCUCGAGUCUCUUGCCCCACCCAUGAAAGUUCGGCUCCCUUUGGAAAAUUUGACUGUCCAAAGCAGACAUUUAUGAUGUGGCUAAAUGACAUCUACAAAGGACUGUGCCUUACAGGCUAAGGUGAAGGUAAAUUGGCCUCACUGGAGUAUUGGCCAGAAUACAGUACUUUAUUUCCCGCAUAGUUUGGAAACAGUACGUCUUUAAAUAGUGUAAUUGUGCCCCAUUAUUUUAGAAAAAAAAAAAAAAAAA